UACGUAGGGACCGAGCGUUGUCCGGAAUCAUUGGGCGUAAAGAGCGUGUAGGCGGCUAUUUAAGUCCUGCGUGAAAUCCUGCGGCUCAACCGCAGACGGUCGUGGGAAACUGGAUGGCUAGAGUGCGGGAGAGGGGAGUGGAAUUCCCGGUGUAGCGGUGAAAUGCGCAGAUAUCGGGAAGAACACCCGUGGCGAAGGCGGCUCUCUGGGACGGUACUGACGCUGAGACGCGAAAGCGUGGGGAGCGAACAGG
rnacentral:rRNA from 1 species